rnacentral:misc_RNA from 1 species
AGAGGCGGCGAGGAGGUGAGGUGGGGGUGCCCGGCACGGGGCCACGGCGCAGUUGCUACUCAGACACGGGGAUGCUCGCAAUGCCUCUAUCAAAGACGCGUCGCACUGUGUUGUUAUGUGUUGUCAUAGUUAUUUCAUUGAAAAAUUAAUUUCGCCGUUUCCGAAACACGCACCGAUUUCUGUCUGUGAAACACAAGUCUGAACAACUCCUCUUAAGUUUUGCCGAAAGGACUUAGAUAAUUUAGAGAAGCUAAAAAGAAACACUUUCGAGCGAUCCUGAUUUCGAAAUUACGACGAGUGAGAAGACGACGAUUAAGAAGAAAAAGGAGAGAAUACAGAAAAUCAAGAAAAUAGCACGAAAAAAGCACCAAAAAAAGAGAAGAAACGAAAUUUAAAUAAAAGCAUUGCCUUAAAGAGAAGAAGAGUACACCUACACUGUCGAAGGAACAAACGAGAGACACAGGGGGGAGAGAAACAAACAAACAAAAAAAAAUAACACUUUAGACGCCUACAAAGUAAAUUGUAAAGAUAUGACUAAAGUAUAUUUUUAACAAGUUUUGAGAAACUUUAGAUUUUAAACGUAAAUUUUAAAAGCGAAAAAUGAAAAAAAACGAUGAAAUUCUUAAUAACUAAAAAUGUGAUCUAAAAGUCGUUGCUACCAAGAGAAGCCUUAUGUCCUUGUUUCAGUUAGUUCGGUUCCAAACCUUCGAGCGGGAGACGCGUUGCAGCGAGAGAUUCCCGCGCAGGAGAGGAAGACUGGACAAAGCGGAAGAAGCAGAAUAAGACGAGCAAAGCAGAAGCGGAGGAGCAGAAGAGCGAGAAAAGACCGAGAGCCGAACGAGUAAAAGCGGGGUUGCGAGGAAGAAAGUGAUUAGCGAGUUGAUUGUGCGAAUCCGAAAAUAGCGAGGGAGCUGACAGAGGACGGAAAGAUCGGGAGUAGCUAUACGGAAGCACAGAAAAAGAGAGCGAGCGAGAGAGAGAGAGAGAGAGAGAGAGAGAGAGAGAGAAAGAGGCAGUGGGAGAUAGAGAUAGCGAUAAAGCAGGCGAUAGACAGAAAGAGAGAGAGAGAGAGAGAGAGAGCGAGAGCGAGAGCGAGAGCGAGAGUGAGAGAGAGAGAGAGAGUGUGAGAAAACGAAGCAAGAAUCGGAGAGAAGCUCGACAGAGAACCCCGCGCUGCAUACAUAUAUAUUUCAGUGUGUUCAAAAAACGAGUGUACCUAAGUGCAAUAUUUAAUUAAACCUAAACGAUAAUAAGAAGCAACCACAAUUACCAUCGACGAUAUCGGUAACGACGAGCGGUGAUCGAUAAUCGAAUAGAAUUCCUUUUAAAGAGUUAAAACGCUAGAGUCGCAUUUCGAGGAGGAGUCAUCGACGGACGCGACAGCCGCUACGGAGUAGAGAGGGUCGGCGUGUAAAGCAGAGGCGGAAGCCGAGGAGAAGAAGAAGAAAAAAGAAAGAAGGAGCAGAGAAACGGGGAGUGACGGAAAUCCCGGAGAGGAGCACUCUCGUCCCGCUUAAAAGAAUUCACACGGACUCACCGACAGGCGAGAGACACGCGCGCGACAGCGAGCACACUUUUUCGAAGGCUGGGCGCGCGUACUCUCUCGCGCACGCACGCACGCGCACACACACACACACGCGCGCACAUACACACACACACACACACACAACAUCGCACGCACAUCCAACAUAACGGGGCUAAAAUACUCAGGGCAAAACGGGACGAGCGGUAAUCAUCCGCGAGUGUGAUUUCUCACCCCGAAGAGGUAGAAGAAGCAGAAGAAGAAGUGAGGAAGCAGAAGAAGGAGGAGGAGACAGAAGAAGAAGAAGAGGAGAAAGAGGAAGAAGAAGAAGAAGAAGAAGAGCGGAAGCCUCACCCGACCGAUAUCUGAUUCGCGUCCGCGUGGACUAUCCUUCUCGUUCACACCGUCCGGGCUGGGCAAUCCUGAAUUUUAACCUGAACUUAAGUGUAUGCUAGAGUUUAAGUUAGAUAGACGAAGGAAAUAGAGGCCGUUCUCCCAUUCGUUGGAGGACGUUCGCUCGCGCGCGCGCAGCAACUCACGCAAAGUAACACGCGUAAAGCGUUUCACACACAACACA